AAAUGAUAAUCUAUAGACAGGUCACAGUAAAGGACACAAGGCUUCACCCUCUAAUCUUGGUAAACUUAAUUUUGGCAACAGGUAGGAUGGAGGGAGAAAUGGACAAAGAUCCUCCUGGCCCUGCAGCCAGCCCCCCACAUCCUGGGGUUUGGAUUGCUGAGAAGUGAGUUCGGAAUGGUUGGGAGCUACAAUUUCUGCAGCUCUGAGCCCACUACAGCAGCAGACAACUCGUACCCUCUGAAGGAAAUGCAGAUGUACAAGUUUCUGGUGUAAUCACUGUCUUGCCACUGGAUACAGCUGGCAAGGACUAUUUCAAAAUAUUCAUCUUGAAAUGCUCUGUUUAUUCAACUUAAAUAUUUUGAAAGAAAGUGCUAAUAAUGACAGGAUUUGAGCUUUGAAAUUAAUGUGUUUUUCCCUUUAAUUGCAUUGCAUUGUAAGAAUUAACAAAAUUUCUUCCUUUCAAGAAAGGAGAGAAAAUCAACAACUUAUUCAAAGCAGUGUGAACUGGAAGUUGAUUCAAGUCAACUGGAAAAAUCCCAAAUGAUGUCCUACUGGUUGAUGUUGCUGCCCAAGGAGCCUCUCCUCUGUCAUGGAGGGGAAUGAAUGGGUAACAGGGGACAACUGACCUGUGAAGGUUUGUGCAUCUAGAAAAGAACUAAUAAGUGGAAAAAAGCAGAAGUUCUGUUGGAAAUAACACUGAGUCUUGAAACAAAGUCCUGGUGCUGGUAGCAGUUCACCCCAGCACAUCCUGGGGAGUUAAAACUUGUGUCAGUGCUGGGCAACUGCAGUUCAGGGGUGUCUGUGCCUCUCCAAGCUGCCCUGCUGGCUCUGACUGCUGGGGGUCCUCAAAGGAGCUGGAGAGAAGGGAAGGAUCCAUGAAUGAAUCCCAGGAAUGGCAUUCAGCAUUCCUGUUGGGCUACACCAUGAACUGGCAAGGAAGUUCAAACUGGAAUCUGCCUCCUGUGUCUCUGCCAAUAACCACAGAACCUGUGCUUGCUUUUAAUAAAACCAGAGAGUCAUUAACGUUGGAAAAGACCUCUAAGACCAUUGAAUCCAACUGUUAACAAUAUUGGCUCAACAGUAUGUGGCUGGGGGAUAAAAAGUUGUAUUGCUUUAAAAAUUUACUAAUUUACUGAAUUCAAAUGAAAGUGGGAUUUAGUGAAGCAAGCCGAGGGUUUGUGUCUGAACAUCUGGCUGUAGAUGUGACCACUAUUGUGUGUCAGGGAUCUGCAGGACUCUGUUCCACCCCUGUUGGAAAUACCAUGCCAGCAGAGGUCUGGUUUGUGUCAAAACAAACACUGGAUACGUAUUCAGCAAGAACAGUAAUGAAAUAGUUGGCUAUAAAAACCCUUCUGUUCUCAGAACUAAAAUGUGAUGCACUUAUAACAGAAAGGGCACUUUUUGUAAGACAUUGAAGUCUUCUUUAUAUGUUUUGAAUAUAUUUUACUAAAUCAGUUGCCUGGAAAUGGAGUUUAAUUCUGGAAUUCAAUGAACGUUGAACAGUCGUUUCCUCUCUGCACUGUUGGUUGUUUUACAGGUACUUCACAUGCACCUUCUUCAGUCAUGUCUUCUGAGAGCCAGUGUUACAUGGAUUUAUUUGGAUGGGAAAUGGUUCCUCAGUUGGGAUUAUCCUUUUUGUCUCUCUCUGGAUUAUUUUACCAUUCAUAACUGCAGGAAUCCUGAGGAAAAUCACAUCCAGCUGCUCUGUAACUGAACUGUCUGACCAGCUGCUCCAGGGCAACAUCCAGAGCUCCAUCCCUCUGCUCCUUGGCUGCCUGGUUGAGCCCCAAGAAGCUGUUCAUGGUGUCUAAAAAUGAUACCUCUGCCCUGUGUCCAAGUGUGUGUCCCACUGCACACGGCAGACACGUCACCUCUGUUCCCAUCCCAAGCCAGAAAUCUGGGCUCCCAUCCUCAGGAAAUCACCCUCUGCGGCUUUUUCAGCCGAAAGCUAAAAAUCAGGGGUGAUUUCUGUGGUGUUGCCUAAGGAUGCAUCUCACUGAGUUUGUCUUACACUCUAAACCAGCUUCUGAGCAGCUCACAGCCUGUUCAGAACAAUCUCUUCUCUGCAGUGCCUGGCCUGGGACAUGCCAGAGGAAGGAUGCAUUUCCUCCAGCAGAAAAUAUCAAGACUAGGGACAAACCAGCAAACCUUUCUGUCUGUUCAGAGUGUGUGUUUGGAUCCUCAUGUGCCCUUCUACCAGUGUAAUGCACAGAAAAUUUCCAGGGCAAACAAACUGCGACUGCACUCCCCUUGUUCAUGGCUGGGCACAUUCCUGUGACCAGGAUUGAUCCAACAAGCAGUGGUGGAGCAGAGCUGGCUGUAGAGCUCAGCCACCAGCUAAAAUCUGCUGAGUGUGUUUGAGUCUUUGUCUAGAGCACAGAUUUAGCUUAGAAUGGGAGAGGACUCCUGGACAGCUCUGGAGAAUCAGCCCUUUUCUGUGGUGUGGAUGCAUUGAGGUCAUCGUGGUUGAUCCUUGGGUUCACAGUGGUGUCAAUGUGGACCAAUUUAAUUUAGGCAAAGAUGCCAAACUGCACCAGGGCUAAACCAAAGGCCAGGAUUUGUUACUCUGGCUUUGCUGUUUGGGGCAGAUAAACUGUCAGUAUUUAGAACUGAGAGGAUUCCUUGUAGCAAAGCACGGGAGACUCGAGGUGUGGUUUGAGCUGUUCGAAUUUCUCUACUGGAUUAAACUGGGCACCUCUAAAGGUCUUCUUUAAAAACAAAGAAGAGAAAGCUCCUGUUUAACCUCCUGGAGGCUCAUCAAACCCCACAGCUGUCACGGUGCCCAAGAUCUAAUUUUAAAUGGGCCAGGAGCAAAGUUGGGGGUUAGUGCAGACACUUUUAACUGUGUCCUUUGGGUACCUAAUUUUUGUGAGGUGUAAUGUUCUUGUCCUGUCAGCGCAGAAUCACAGAAUAUUCUGGGUUGGAAGGGACCCACAGUGAACAUCCAGUCCAGCUCUUAAGUGAAUGGCCCCUACACAGGAUUGGCAUUUUUAGCACCAAGUUUUAACCAGCUGAACUAAUCUCAUGGUCAUCAGUCACCAGCACAUCUUCAUUUUACUGAAUAACAGCCCCCCAAAUCAUAAGUCUUGGAAGUUUUACUGGCACACAAAUUGGGUUUGUGUUUUUAGCAGUUGUCUUUCCUUCCCAAAAGGAGCUGCAGGCAGAUCCUGUCCCUCAGAAACUGCUGGGAUCAAGGCUUUGUGACCAGGUUUGCAGCAAACCCUUUUUGCAAGAAUGCCUGUUUAAACUCGUGAGAAAAAUAGACCACAGUAGACAUUCAAGAGAAACUUGUAAUUCCUGUUGGACACCAAAACAAAAAACUAAAAUUUUUCAAUGCCUUUGUCCCACAAACCCUUUCCUAGAAUUAUGAGAAAUAUAGGAUUUAUAUUUCUCUGGGAAAAAUGGAAAAAUAAAUCAAUAUGUGGUAAGGCAAAUUGCAGGAGGAAUUUUAGCUCAAUGGAUCUGUCCAGGCUUCCCCUUCUGCUGCCUCAACUCUUCAACACUUCUGUUUAAGGUACACACAGAGUGAAAGAGCCAAUGCAGAGCAUUAAAGAAAUGUUGAAAGGCACCAUUUUUCCUAGCAGUGUGAUAUUUUGACAUUGCCAUCCCCUUCCUUUUUUCCAAGCCUGCCAGGGAAUUUGGUCUCCACAAAAUAUAGUUUGCAGUGAAUUUGAGUAAUUUGUUAAAGAUGUUGCUGUAAUAUUUCCCCUCUAGUUCUUUCCCCGAAGCUUUAGACUGAAAAGUUUUAAUGUCAUAUUUAAAUAGAAGCACAGCUAUAAAUUUCCAAAGGGUUCCCAGAUUCUGAGUCUGACAAUUAAUACAUUUCUGUCCUUUUUUUUGUCUUUUAUUUUCACAGUUGGCAAACUUUACAGGCUUAUUCUGCAGGUCUGAAGAAAAUCUUGCUCCUGUUUUCAACGAAUGCUGUAGUGGAUUCUUGGAUAAAAUAAUUUGAACAGAUUUUGCUCAUUGGACUGUACUGGCAAAACCUUAAGCUUGUUUCUUAAGUGUUAAUCUGAAACAAGGACAAAAUCCCAACUCUGGGCCAAACAUUUGCCCUGACUGUGGGAUGGGGACAGGGCAAGUCAGGAUGGGCUCGUGCCCACGAACAGGUUGGGAGCAAACCUAGAUCAGGAAAAAAAUGGUUUCACUUGUUUCAACAAUGAAAUCAUUAAAAUGGCUUACAAAUAAUUUUUAGAUUUAUAAAAAACGUUAUAUUUUAAUACUAAUUAUGAAUAAAAAUCCUCGUUGAAGUGCCACACAACAUAUUAUUGCAGCCAAUUAUCCCACCUGGAGUGUGCAAGGGCAAGCACACGAGUCAGGUUGUGCAGGACACGGACCGUGAUUCACUC